GUUCGCCGCUCUCUUCUUUCUCUUCCAACCAUGUCUCUCGAAGCUCUGUAUCCGGCGCCGCCGCCCCACCGCCGCUUCGACCAUUACGGCUGUAGGCGAGCUAGCGAAGCGCUCUAAACGCAUCUAGGAUGACGAGUACUUGGCCAACUGUCCAUAAAGCCUCUUCCUCCAAAUCGACAGAUCGGAUUUUCAAGCGGCGCAGCCACCGUCCCCGAAUGAAUUGCAGAAUGAGGGAAUUUAGGGUGGGUUAUUUCAUAAUACAAAUUUGGAAAUGUCUUGUUGGAAUUUCGUCGAACAGGAUACAGACAUGGAGAAAUUCAAAUUCCUUUUCUUUUUCUUCCUUUUUGGGUAAAAAAAAAUGGGGUGUUCGUCCAAAUGUGUAUUUCUGCAUGUGUAUUUGAUUUCUUAUGUUGAUUUAUGUUGCAAGACACGUGC
rnacentral:lncRNA from 1 species